GAUCUCAAAUGAAGCAAGAUUACCCGCUGAACUUAAGCAUAUUAUUAAGCGGAGGAAAAGAAACUAACAAGGAUGCCCUCAGUAACGGCGAGUGAAGCGGGCAAAGCUCAACCUGAAAAUCGGAUUCCUUAGCGGGAUUUCGAAUUGUGGGCUACAGACGCGUGAUCAGUGUGUGACCCAGGUAUAAAUCUCUUUGAAACGAGGUAUCAUAGAGGGUGAGAAUCCCGUCUGUGACUUGGAGUUCGCCGCGUACGAUCCGUGUUCGCAGAGUCGCGUUGUUUGGGAUUGCAGCGCUAAAUGGGUGGUAAAUUUCAUCUAAAGCUAAAUAUCGACGAGAGACCGAUAGCGAACAAGUACCGUGAGGGAAAGAUGAAAAGAACUUUGAAAAGAGAGUUAAAAAGUACUUGAAAUUGCUAAGAGGGAAGCACUGGAAACCAG
rnacentral:rRNA from 1 species